AAGUGAGAUGAUGAAUGAUUUAUUUCCCUAUUGGUUUGAUUGGCCAGCAUAAUGGCCUAUAUACUGAAUCUAGUCUGAUCGUCA
rfam:Triticum aestivum genome assembly, contig: Triticum_aestivum_CS42_TGACv1_scaffold_342769_4DL